UUUCCGUAGGUGAACCUGCGGAAGGAUCAUUAAAAAAUAACACAGUUGUGAUUUUAAGUAAUCAUCCUACCCUUUGUGAAUUUGUUUGUAUUAAUUUGUGUCUUUCCCUGUGUUUUUGAUGAGUUGAAAAAGCAUUCAAAUGCAGGGAAUGGCAAACCUUUUUUUAAAUUAAACUUUUGUAUUCAUUGUCUAAAAUUUAUUUUUAAUAAUUUAAAAACAACUUUGACAAUGGAUCUCUUGGUUCUCGCAACGAUGAAGAACGCAGCAAAAUGCGAUAAGUAAUGUGAAUUGCAGAAUACGUGAUCAUCAAAUCUUCGAACGCAUAUUGCACUUUUCUAGUUUACUAGAAAAGUAUGUCUGUUUGAGUAUCAGUAAAAUAUUCUCAUAAAAACAUUGUUUUUAUGGUUAUGAGUGUUUUACAACGAUAAACAAGUUGUUUCACUUUAAAUUGAUUUUAAAGCCAAUUUGGUUUUAUCUAAUAAAAUUGGUAAAAUUUUCCCGUAAAAAGGAAUAAACUUUUCAGUUUUAAAGGUAAACUUUAGUUGAGCCUAAUAGAAGGAAAUUUAACAAAAUAACUUGAUCUCAAAUCAGAUAAGAGUACCCGCUGAACUUAAGCAUAUCAAUAAGCGGAGGAAAAGAAACUAACAAGGAUUCCUUAGUAACGGCGAGUGAAGCGGAAGAGCUCAAAUUUGAAAUCUUCAAGGUUCUACCUUGACGAAUUGUAGUUUAUAGAAGUGUUUUCUGUUAGUGGAGUGGCAAAAGUUCUUUGGAAUAGGACAUCAUAGAGGGUGAGAAUCCCGUAUUUGGUCAUUCCUCCUAGCGUUGUGAUACACUUUCAACGAGUCGGAUUGUUUGGGAAUGCAGUCCAAAAUGGGUGGUAAAUUUCAUCUAAGCUAAAUAUUGCGAGAGACCGAUAGCGAACAAGUACCGUGAGGGAAAGAUGAAAAGAACUUUGAAAAGAGAGUUAAACAGUACGUGAAAUUGUCAAAAGGGAAGCGUUUGACACCAGUGUUGUUUUUCCGAAAUCAAUUACGAAUGUUUUGUUUUUAAGGAGUUAUGACUUCAUCGGCUUGCUCCUUUCUUUAUGAAACUUUCUUAAUGCACUUUUCGGUUAACAAGUCAACACCAAUUUCUUUUGUUGUAAAAGAGUCAUUGGAAGGUGGCUUUCACUUCGGUGAAAGUGUUUAUAGCCUUUGACUUCUGCAAUCGGAGAGAUUGAGGUCUGCAGCGUAGAUCCUUCGGGGUUAGAUACAUUUGUGCUAAGUUAUAGUUUUUCAUAGACAACAUGUUGACUAUGAUUAAUCAUGUAGCUUACUCGCUUAUGCUAUUU
rnacentral:misc_RNA from 1 species